CAUUCCUACGGGAGGCAGCAGUGAGGAAUAUUGGUCAAUGGGCGAGAGCCUGAACCAGCCAAGUCGCGUGAGGGAGUACUGCCCUAUGGGUUGUAAACCUCUUUUGUCGGGGAGCAAAAGCCGGACGUGUCCGGCUGUGAGAGUACCCGAAGAAAAAGCAUCGGCUAACUCCGUGCCAGCAGCCGCGGUAAUACGGAGGAUGCGAGCGUUAUCCGGAUUUAUUGGGUUUAAAGGGUGCGUAGGCGGCAUUAUAAGUUAGUGGUAAAAUAUUGGGGCUUCACCUCACUACGCCAUUAAUACUGUAG
rnacentral:rRNA from 1 species